GAACACAGUAAAUCUUUCUUUUUCUUCACAUAGGAAAUUGUGGCAAAGUUUUUUUUUAUACCAAAAUCAGGGAAGUCCCAGUCAGGCCAAUCAUGAACACACACGUACAGUCAGGUUCUUUCAGAGACCAAUCAUGAACACAGGCCUACAGCCAGGAAACAGGUUUCUAUAAAAGCUUCUUGUUUGAGUCCAACAUUCAAACAAUUUUACAUUCAAAGAGCACUAGCCCAAAGCUAAUCCUGUGAUUUGACCACCUUCAGCAUAUCAUCAGACCUACUCCUAUCGGCAACAUGUAUUAAAACACCAUGAAAACAAUACAUUUCUGGACGUGUGGUCCUCGGCCUCCCAAUGGGGCUGGGGCCAGGGCUAAAGCAGGGGCCAAGAUAGUGGAUGGAGAACACACGGACCCCCUGAGGACUUAUGUGCCAUCGCUGCCCUCCUGUUACCGCUGCUGGAGGCUCCCGGAUGGAUAACGCCAACCACUCCGCUUUCUCCCUCUGUCCCUAUCUCUCUGUUUCUCUCUCUUUCUUUCAUCAUCCUGGAAUUAAAGUGUGACUAUGUUAAUAACCUGUCAGGUCAGAUAAAGAUUGCUACUGGUGACACUGAAACCCGGUACUACCUGUGUCAGAAUAUUUGAUAUAUAUAUGGUUAAAUUGAAAAAGAUUUGUAAUAUUGAUUUUGCGCGUGACUUAAAUAUGUCCUUUGGAAUGGAACUUGAGGCAGAAGAUUUUUCUGACUCUGGGCAGGCGACAAAGAUUCUGUACAAACGCAAACGUCGGAGAAGCAUAACGGAGCCUUUACAUUUUAGCUCUGAAACUGAGAUCUUCAUAAGUACAGAGGGUGCAGAUCAGACAUUGAGUGUGAAAAACAACAUCAUAGACUCUUCUCAGCGUUCCAUCAUCUCAGAUUCUGAUAUUUUAGACAGACGCAAACGUAGGAAUAGCUUAGAUAUUCCACCAGAUUUUGUAACAUGCACACUGGAAAAUAUUCAGUAUGUAUACUUUGAAGUUUUAUGUUUUCUGCAUACUUUGAAGCUACAUAGUCACACUUUAAACCAGAUAUAUCUAUUAAAGCCUUCAUGACGCCAUCAUAAUGCCUUCAUAAUGUCCUACACUACAUACAUAGAAGCUUCACAUAUCAUUUGUAAGCAAAUGUCAUGCUGGAAAAAGGAGGUGUGCAGAUGCGGAAGCAGAGAUGUGCCGACAGAAGCGAACUUUCGAUGCAUAAUUCUGUUUAAACUAACCUAACGGAUGGCGCAGAAGCUGCAAAAUUAGGCUUUAGAGAGGUGGAAGGUUGCUUGAUCAGUAGCCGGAAGGUUGCUGAUUCAAUCCACGGACAGGGUAUAAAAACAGAACUGUGGGAACUGUUGGUCUAUGAUUCCAGGUACUCCCUCCUGCCGUUGUGCCCUUGAGCAUGGGACUUAAACCCCAAAACUGCUCCCCAUCCAGGGGUGCUGCUCUGUAGCUUAUCAACUUAGCUGAUCAAUGAUUUGUGCAGCGCCUAUGAAAUGUGAUGAAGCAGAUAAUGAGGCUAAACAACUAACAAUAUUCAGUUAAGUAAUGUACAUUUAGAAGGUUAUAAUAGGGUCAUACUCACAUUGCUCCUAUAAAUAUAUUUAGCAUUUCAUUAUCUUAUAUUCUGGCUUAGCUUUUUAAUGCAAUAAAAACUGUGACAAACUAUUCAGUGAUGCUUUAUUUGUCCUAAUGCAAUCCUCAUUUUAAACUAUGUAUUUAAACUAUGGUCAAAUUGUUCCCUCUUACCAAGUCAGAGCUUUGGAACAAAAUGUCCUGCAUCAUCAGCCCAGCAUUGUUAAUGCUGUUUUUUUCAUCCUCUUGAAAAUGCACUCAGUAAAUGUACUGGAAUGGUCAUGUCUUAAAGUAAGGUUGCCACUAAGGAACAAAGUUCAAUGGGAUUAACACCUAAACCUUAAUGGGUGACUGACAGGAAAAACAACUGUCACUGGAGGAUGAGAAUGAGAGAUGAAUACUGUAAAUUAGACCAGUGUUAACAAUCUGCCUGUUUAAAAACAUUCCGGAACAUGUGAACAGUUCCAGGAUACAAGCGUGCUAAUCAGAGGACAAGAGAGCAUCUCAUUACAAACAAAACAGAAAAUAGUCCUUAUUAAUGCAGUCAAUGAACACUUGAUAUUUAUCAGUGUCAAUUCUAUUUGUUAAACAGCUGUAAGUAUCUGAGAAAAUCAGUUGCGGUGCUUUUCUCUGGCAAUUGUUCAAAAGAUUCAGCAAUUGUACAAUGGCAAUGAUGCAUUAUUACCAACUGGGCACAGAUGUCCUUUCAAUGUGUAGUUUUGAUUUACAUUUGAUUGAGUUGUCAACUAACAGUGAAUUCAACGUGAAAUCAACAACAAAUGUCACCAUGUCAUUGGAUUUAGCGUAAAAGUUGGGUGAAAAAAAGACAAAAUGCACUUAUGUUGAUGACUUUUACAAAUCCAGUCAGUUUUCCACGUUGAUUCAAAGUCAUCACAUGUCCCUGCAUAUUUAUGUGGUAAAGUUCGACACUCAACACAAAUACAGAAGUUAGACAUGGGGAUUUACAAGAAGUCACGUGAUUUUCAGGAAAUUGUAGGCAGAAAAGAGAAACUGAUAAGAUGCCAAAUAAAUGGUAAC
ensembl:lncRNA